rnacentral:tRNA from 1 species
GGUACCAUGGCCGAUCGGUUAGGUAACGGUCUGCAAAACCGUCCAGCGCGGUUCGACUCCGCGUGGUACCU